AAUUUUUAAAAAAAAAAUAAAGAAUCUUCCUGUGAGCCCCUCUGUGAGUUCCUCAAACUAUCAACAUACUGAUUAAUACAGAACCUACUGACAUUGAAAACGACACCAAUCUGUUUCUGAAUCCUGAAGCUUUGCUGCUUGUCCUGCAUGAGGAACAUUUUAGGCUGGAUGCAUGGCAGCACAUGCCUGUAACCCCAGCAUUUUGGAAGGCUGAGGUGGGUGGAUCGCUUGAGGUCAGGAGUUCGAG